ACGUCGUGUUUGUAAUGUGAGCAAGGUGAUAUUUUACCGCGAUGAGGAAUUUAAUCGCCCCAGACUUCGAGUAAAAUGAAUACACUUAUUGUUUUCAAUUUAUGUCUUGGUAUAUAUUUCAUAACUGAGUGUGGUAAAUUCGCAACUGGAUAUGAUUCUCCGAGGCAAUUCCAGUACUUAAAGAUGGAUCAUCUGCAUCGCGGUAGCUUUAACAACACAGACUGCUUGCGAGAACUGCUCAACUGCUGGGAGGUCGUUAAACCUGACAUCAUCUGCUCGAACGCAUAUGUGUUCGAGUCCGUGUGCGGCAUCAUGAAACAAGACUGCACCGAGAAACAUGGCCUCAUUGACC